GGGCCCAUAGCUCAGUUGGUUAGAGCACGCGCUUGAUAAGCGCGGGGUCGGUGGUUCAAGUCCACCUGGGCCCA
rnacentral:tRNA from 1 species